UACGUAGGGUGCGAGCGUUGUCCGGAAUUAUUGGGCGUAAAGAGCUCGUAGGCGGUGUGUCGCGUCGGUCGUGAAAACUUGGGGCUUAACCCUGAGCUUGCGGUCGAUACGGGCAUCACUGGAGUUCGGCAGGGGAGACUGGAAUUCCUGGUGUAGCGGUGAAAUGCGCAGAUAUCAGGAGGAACACCGGUGGCGAAGGCGGCUAUCUGGACAGAAACUGACGCUGAGGCGCGAAAGCUAGGGGAGCAAACAGG
rnacentral:rRNA from 1 species